UCGGCUAGACUUGUUAAAAUUUAAACUUUAUUUUGUUUUAAUUAUAAUUGUUUGUUUAGUUUUUAAAUAAUUAUAGGUUAAAUUUUAAUUAUUUUAUGUGUAUAAUUAUAAUUUUAAAUUUUGAAAAUCGAAUUAGAUUAGUACCUAAUUAGUCAAAAGUUAAAAGAGCAGAAGUAAAGUAAAAUUUAAACUGAAAGAAUAUUGGCAGAUUUUCUAAAUUAUCUUUGGAGGUUGAGUAAUAAUUGAGAACCCUCAUUAACUACUUUUUUAGUGGUCUCAUGUAUGAUCGUUUAUUAUAUGCUUAAGGUAUAUAAUUAAAAAUUAUUUAUUUAUAAAAAUAGAUAUAUAUUUGGUUUAUAUAAAAGUAAUAUUUGACCUACAAUAAUUUGUAAUUGUGAAUCUACUUUUUUGUGAAGUAGUGAAAAUGUAAAAGACAGUAAAAAAAUUUUUAUGGUUUUUUGAAGAUUAUUUAGAAGUGGUACAAAUCAUCCAUCAAUUGCCCAAAGGGGAGUAAGUUGUAGUAAAGUA
rnacentral:ncRNA from 1 species